rnacentral:rRNA from 1 species
AUUGAACGCUGGCGGCAGGCUUAACACAUGCAAGUCGAGCGGGGUGAUGGUGCUUGCACUAUCACUUAGCGGCGGACGGGUGAGUAAUGCUUAGGAAUCUGCCUAUUAGUGGGGGGCAACAUCUCGAAAGGGAUGCUAAUACCGCAUACGUUCUACGGGAGAAAGCAGGGGAUCACUUGUGACCUUGCGCUAAUAGAUGAGCCUAAGUCGGAUUAGCUAGUUGGUGGGGUAAAGGCCUACCAAGGCGACGAUCUGUAGCGGGUCUGAGAGGAUGAUCCGCCACACUGGGACUGAGACACGGCCCAGACUCCUACGGGAGGCAGCAGUGGGGAAUAUUGGACAAUGGGGGGAACCCUGAUCCAGCCAUGCCGCGUGUGUGAAGAAGGCCUUAUGGUUGUAAAGCACUUUAAGCGAGGAGGAGGCUCUUUUGGUUAAUACCCAUGAUGAGUGGACGUUACUCGCAGAAUAAGCACCGGCUAACUCUGUGCCAGCCGCCGCAGUAA